AGACCUUCUCCCUCUUGGAAACUGGCUAAUCAAAAGGAUUUUCCUUUUUUGAAAUUUUCCGCUUUCUUGCCUUAUUAUGGGAGUACAAUGUUUAUGGAUAGUAUUAAGCAUUGGUUCAAACUUUAACCUCACAUCAGUGCCUAGGGCCUACUGAAGCGCUGCAGAUCCUAGCAGAGUAUCAUGAAUGAAGGCCUAAGUGAUGCUCAUCAGUGUCGGGACAGCGCCAAAAAAGGAAUAGAUAGGUGGUUCAGUAUAGUUUUAAGUAAAAAAAAAAAAAAUAGUUUAUUUUAGAAAAAAUAUGAUGAAAAUGUAAUUAAGUAAAUAUAAAUAAUAUACUAAUUUUCUUUUACGCGAGUCGAUCACACAAUUCAAUAAUUAUAAUAUUUUUUGUUUAGGGCAAAAUGUUAGUAGCUAGAUAACAGUGCGGUGUUUUUAUGUCCGUUUAUAUUAGUAUUCUCUUGUUCUUUUUUGUUAAUAGUUAUCUGUGUUUUAUUUCUUGUACUCUGAUUAUUGUAUUAUUUUGUUGCUAUCUACUAUUAGUUGAAUACAUGUUGAAUCUAAUAUGUUAGAGUACUAUUUAUUUGCCUUUUAGGGUGUGUUUGGUAUGAAGGAAAACAUUUUCCGGAAAAUGUUUUUCAAUUUUUUCAUAUUUGGUUGGAUUGAAUGUUUUGGAAAAUAUUUUCCAAAUCAACUCAUUUUUUUCAAAUUUAAGGAAAAUGACUUCCCUUCAAAANNNNNNNNNNNNNNNNNNNNNNNNNNCCAACUUCAAAUUACAAUUAUUUUUUUGUUUAAAAAAACAAUUUAUUUUGUCUCUACUCUCAAACUAGCCCCCCCAAAAAAAAAAAAAAUUUAAAACCUUUUUUUGCNNNNNNNNNNNNNNNNNNNNNNNNNNNNNNNNNNNNNNNNNNNNNNNNNNNNNNNNNNNNNNNNNNNNNNNNNNNNNNNNNNNNNNNNNNNNNNNNNNNNNNNNNNNNNNNNNNNNNNNNNNNNNNNNNNNNNNNNUUGAAUGUUUUGGAAAAUAUUUUCCAAAUCAACUCAUUUUCCUCAAAUUUAAGGAAAAUGACUUCUCUUCAAAACUUAAGGAAAACAUUUUCCAAAACUCUCUUCCAAAUUCAAAUUACAAUUAUUUUUUUGUUUAAAAAAACAAUUUAUUUUGUCCCUACCCUCAAAUCAUCCCCAACCACCCCCAAAAAAUAGACUGAGGAUGUGGACACAUAUUGAUAAAUGUUUGAAAAUUAAACAUGUCUCAAUCGGUGUAGUGUGAAAAACUAAAUUGUAAUAUUUUAUUAUAUUCCGCAUAUAUCCUGAUGCAUCAUUUAAUUCAAUGAAAAAGGGGGUUGUUCAAUUCCAGCAAUGUUGUGAUUGGUGUUCCUAAAGGGGCUGUUCUGUCUGGAUUAAGAGGAGGUGGGUGGCUCAUCGGAGCUCCGGUGAGCUAUUCGCCGGAGAAGAAGAUGAAUAGUGAAACCGUUUGUUAAAUAAAAAAUCUGAAAAUUAUUCAACCUUAAUCUAAAAAAUUAUCCAUCACCCUUGAAAAUUUAAAAUCACUCAUUCUACGAAACUACAGGUUCAAAAUCAUGGGCUAAUUAAAUAUCUGUGAUUCAGUGAAUUAAUAGACUGCGCUAAAAUAAAUGUAAUUAAUGAUACAUAUAUAAAAAAAGAAGUAAUUAACGAAAAAUGAUGGUUUAAUAAAACUAAAUAAUAUUUUAUAUUCUGACAAAAUAUUAAUAAUCAAAAUUAACUAAUAAAAAUUCUUAUAUUUUGAAAAACAAGGAUAAUUAUCGAUAAGUUAUAAUAGAGAAUUUUAGAAAUAGCAAACAUAAUAGGCCUCUACAGCUAUAGUUUCAACCAAUAAUUGCGCUCCAUAGAUAUAGUUUCGUUUGCUAUUUUUCUCCCACCACCGUGAAAUCACCGUCUUCGACAAAAACUAUUAGUUAAUAAAGAUACAACACACCAUCAUGAAUCUACCAAAAAUAGACUUGAAAAAUUCAUUAAAUCCACAACUUCAGCUUCAAGAGAUUAUCCACUUGAUGAAGUUUUUUCAGCACUAAGUCAAAUUGAUCAUACGUUUACGUUCAGCUCCAUUACAAGACUGGAAAAAAGACCUUUGAGAUCUUACUAAAGUCGGAUGAUGUGAUGAUUGAAGUCUUAUAAAUUGAAACUUGCAUGCAUUAAAUUAUCGGGUAAAAGUACUAAUACCCUCCCUCCAACAAAUUAAGUUGUAACAAGAUAACAAAUGCAACUUUAUUAUAUUACCAAAUCCAAAAUGACGACGACGACAACAACAAUAAAGUAAAUAAAAAUUGCCAAAUCUUAGAGACCUAAACUCUAAAACUGAAAGAAAUCCUUGAUAUCAUUGUCACAUUCAAAUAGAUGCAUAUAGUCUUCCUUCAAAUCCACUUGCACACAAAUCCCAUUGCCACAUUCUGCAUCAUACAACCAGCAAACCUGAUCAUGUCUUGACCCCAAAAUGCAUCAAACAUGGUUUUCCCCAACCAAAAUCAGCUUCUUGUAUAGGAAAUUUACACAAACUUGAACUUGUGUACCUAUCAACUUCAUCACUUCCUCCCCAAUCUUGUGCUAGGAAACUUUCAUUAUAUAUCUUUGACACCGCGGACACUAUGUCCUCCGGUGAAGUCUUGUCACAAGUAAUAACAGUAUCCUUCACAGUGUCAUGAAUUAAUGUCACGAAUUCGUGCAACUCCAUCUUGUUCUCCCCAGGUAUGAAUUUUAAAGGGGCGUCAACUCCAAGAUUUCCAAAAGAUUUUUCUACUUGAGGUAAAGAAAUUAACCUAGUGCGCAAGUUUAUUGGGAUGUUCAUUAGAGAACGUCUUAGAUAUCCGUGCUUCUUUUCUGAAGCACGGAUUAAAGCCCUCCAUAGGAGGGCCAUGAUCAUUUCAACUCUUGAUGGCUUAAAGCAUAAGUCUCCACCGACUUCUUUUCUUAGCCUUGAAAUGGAAUCUUCGUUGAUGUAUAGUCUUUUGGCUACUAAUUUAGAUUCCACACGAUCUUCUAGAGGAACACGAGGCAAGAGAAGCUUCGAUAAAUCUCUCGAUGGGAAAACAUCAACCAAAUUAAAGCUCAUGAAAUCAAUCUUCUCUACAGGAAUCUCAAGUCUACACACUUUGGACCACUCGUUGAUAACAGUAAAAGUUGAGUAACCAUCCAUUGCAAUGUGCGCGUGGCUCAUGGAUAGAGCCAAGCCACCACACUCGAAUUCUGUAAUUUGGAUAAUGACAACUGGCAUGGCGAAUAAGUUGGAUGCAUCUACAUUCCAUGAAUCUUGAGGCCAACAAAGCAAUGAAAGGUUGACAUCCUUGUGUGCUUUCUCAAGAAAUUUAUUGAGUUUACUAUUCACUUUUGCUUUUAUAAAUUUAACCCCUUGGUCCUGGCAGGAUAUCGAGUUAUCCUCGGUAAAUCUGCCAGAAAUAGGGUAAACAUGAGUUAAAAUCCUAGAUAAGGAUUGCUCAAGUUGUUCUUCAUGAGCUGAAAAAUUAAUGUUGUUGGUAGGAGGAUAAAAAAAAACAAGAGGUAAAUGUGUCUCAUCAGUUGUUUGAUCAAAGAAACCUAACUUGUAAUUUUGGAGAUGAUUUGGAGUUGGUGAAGAUGGUUUUAUGAAUUUUGUGGAUAUGAUUUCAACUUCCAUGUUUUCUUUUUGAAAUGCCAUGAGUAUAUAGAUGUGGUGAAAUAGCAAAAGAGAGAUUAAGCAAACAAGUGAAGAAGCUAAGAUAUAUAGUGGCACUUCACUCUUCUCCUUUAUAUAGAAGAAAGAUAUGGGUUAUCGGUUUAUCGAUUUUUAAUCUUUUAACUAUUCGGUUUAACCAACAAGAAAAUGCUCAUAAAAUAAACAUAUGACUUUUCCAAUAAUUUGGCGCAACAAUAUAAUAAUGUAACUUUACAUAAUGGUCAUAAUUAAAAUAGAAACAGUAUUAAUUACCAUGAAAAUGAAAAGAACUACAUACACAAGUGCAAUACAAAUAAAAGAACUAGGACGAAUCGAAGGCUAAAGGACACAUUAAAGUUUGUAACCAUUAAAAUAUAUAUACUGAAAUAAAUAUUUACUAUAUUUAUGUAGAGGUAAAUGAGGAAAUGACUACAUUCUUACCGGGUUAUCGGUUUACUCAAUAAUCCAAAACUAAAAAAAAAAUCAAAAUCGAACUGAUAAUCCGAUAAUAUUUUUUUAUCUAUAAAAUCAUUAAAACCCCGUUAAUCCAAUAACUCAAUAACAAUAAAGUAGUAAUGACAUAUGUUCCCUCUCCGCGAGCUGAUGUUAUACAAUAAUCUUUAUUAUAUAGGGGAAAAAAAUUCCAUCAUAUGUUUAUUGUGUAUUGGAUUAUGGUAAUCCUUCAUAUAUGGAAUUUGAAGUAUGAAAAAUUCAGACCAUAAAUAGGGUAAUAUUUGGUAUUUAUGAUAUUGUAAAAUUAUGGUCCUCCAAAGAUCAUCAACUUAAGCAAAAGAGUUUAUCCUCCAAAGAUCAUCAACUUACUUUCUUGGAAUGGUUCACUUAUAGGAAGCAUUAAAGAGGAGGUUGAUUGCGAGGAUAGAGUAUGCAAAAUUUCUUCAAGACACUUUCAAGGAGAUGGCUAAAGAAGUCCAAAACUCUCGGAGUGGAGAAUUAAAGAAAACAGCUGAAGACCAACACCUGCAGUUGGCUCAUCUAUGUCAUUUCCGUUAAAAGUUUGGCUCAUCUAUGUCAUAUCCGUGUUUGAGAAAAGGCUCAUUUAUGACAUUAUUUGUUAACUUAAAGUAAUUCCAUUUUGCAAAACUAUUUUUACAUGUGGUCAAUUAUGAUUUAUGAAAAAUCAUUUUUUUGCACGGUCAAUAAUGAUUCGGCCAUGUCAUUAAUUAUAUUAUUUUUUUUAAAGGGAAAAAACUCAAAUAUGUCAUCAAACUUUGAGAAAAGGCUCAUAUAUGUCAUCCGUUAAAUGUUUGGCUCAUCUAUACCAUUUCAAUUAAUAAAUAAUGGCAUGAAUGAACCUUUUCUCAAACGACAAUAACAUAGAUGAGCUAAACUUUUAACAGAUGGCAUAAAUAAAUUUUUUCUCAAAGUUUGAUAACAUAUUUGAGUUUUUUUUUCUUUUUAAUAUGUGACAUUCACUCAUCAAUUAUUAUAAUAUUUUUGGUUUGAAUUUAUAUAUAAUUAUUAUAUAUUAUAUGAACAGGUUGUCUAAGGCAUUAGGUACUCUCUUAGUUUCAAUUCGUAUGUGCUACUUUUGUUUAAAAAAUAACGUGUCUUUUAUUUAUUAGCAAUUCUUUAAUUUUAACUUUUGACAUAAUAUAUUUAAGAUCACAUGAUUCAAAAAUAUAUAUUUAUUUUCUUAAAUUUUGUGUCAAGUAAAAAUAUGACAAACAAAUUGAAAUGGAAAGAACAUACUCCCUAGAUAGCUCACUUUUACUAGUCAUUUCUCACAUAUCAAGAAAAAAUAAUUAUUUUUUCCCAUGUUUUACCUUUAGUAUUAAUUAUUUAUUCCUCAAAUCAUUUUUCAAGAUUUAAUACUAAAUAUCAAUAAAUAGGGGUAAUAUGCUAAAAUAGUGAUCAUGUCAAUUUUUGUUUUCUUAAUAAGUGUAUCAGAUCCAAAUUUGACAAAUAAAUCAGGGUAGGUGAAGAAAAGAGAAAAAUGCACACAACAACUUGCACCUUGCUAAGGAAUUUUUCCAUUUUUUGUCACGGGGCAUUAAAAAUGUGAACGCGACACCAAAUAUAUUUGUAUAAAUCGCGAUUUACCAAUGUAAAACUCCUCCAACAAGCACACAACAACUUGCAUCUCGCUAUGGAAUUUUGCCAAUUUUGUCACGGGGCAUUCAGGAUGUGAACGCGACACCACAUAUGUUUGUAUAAUCGCGAUUUACCAAUGUGGGGGACUUGCGUUAUCUACAAGCACUGUCCACCCUGCGAUGGACGGAUUUUACCUUCAUCUAUAAGUAGAGCCGUCAAAAAGGGUUUAUCACAUGGGGCUGGCCCGACCCAACCCGUUAUUGGGAUAGGGUUGGGAUAAUAUUUUACAAGCCCGUUUAAAAUUGGGGCUUAUAAGCCCAACCCUUUUAGGCCCUUAGCCCUUGAGGCUUGAUCGGCGUCGGGCCGGGGUCGGCCCAUGGGCCAAAUUAUUUGAUUUUAAUUAAAAUAAAUAUUAAAAAAAUAAGAAUAAAAAACUAGAAAAUCUAAAUAAGUGUUUGUGGAGUUUUUCUAUGGUACUUGCCUCAUGAAUUUCUUUAUUAUUUAGUUUUGAAUAUAAGACUUGGAUAGUAAACACUAUUUAUAUUAUAUGUUUUAUGGCUUGAACAAUUAAUUGGUUUCUUGAUUUCAUUUAACAAAAUACUUUAAGUAAUUAUGUAUUGCUAACUAAAGUUUUAGUCAGAAGUGUUCUUUAGUUUACUAGUUUGUUUUUUCAGAUAUUAUUUACUUAAGAGAUUAUUAUUUUUUUCUUUAAAUAUUUAUUGCUAGAUUUUAUUUAGAAUUAUUGAAACAAUGUUACUAUUUGUGACAUUGAUUUGACCUUUAAAAAAAAAGGGUCGGCCCGCCCUAGCCCUUAACCCUUCUGGGGUUGGUCCGGGUUGACCAUUUUACAGCCCUUUGAAAUGAAGGACCAGCCCGCCCCAGCACAUCAAAUUUUUUGGCCCGCAAGGCUUGGGCGGGGUAGGGCUGGGCUGACCUGUUUUGACAGUUAUAUCUAUAAGUGGUCCAAAGUGUGUAAGUUGGAAAGUCCAUUAUUUUUCACAUGUUAUUUCUUGUUUUAAUAACAACAAGAAAGACAAGAAAAAAUCACGGGUGGGGUCAUUUCCCCAGAGCAGAGCUUAAAGCAAGGGUCAGAACUUUAGGCGGGGCCUCUGUCGAUAGAGCUGGGAAGGCAGUCGUAGAAAUGAAGCCUAUCGCCACGCCGACCAUCAAAUACGAGACUAGACCCCUUCUCAAAGAUUUGAUUGAAUGGCCCACCCUUUGUUCGGUGUCCGGGGAAGAGAAAUGAGUCUAUUCGGGAAGCGCUUACCAACCCCUUUACCGAUACCAAAGGGAAGCAGGAAUUAGAUCAAUAAGGCACUGCUAAGUCUUGCCAAUUUCAUUAAAAGAUCUUUAUGUUGGAAAACUAUAUGUAUAACGGAAGCAUACCAGAACCAUACUGCUUAUAUGAAUAAUAGACAACACAUAUAUAGUUUAUUCUAGAACACAUACAAUUAUGCUAGAGCACAUAAGCUUUCUGAAAUUUAAUUCAAGAAUUACCUCUUGAAGCGUGAUCAGAUACCUUCAAGUGAAUCCACAAGCUAUUCAACAAGUUAUAACCUUCAAGUGAAUCCACAAGCCAGUCUACAAACUGGACGACAGUUCUACGGUCUUCUACAGUGAUCCCAAGUUCAUUUGCAAACUUUCUCAAUACUCGGAUGGGCAAGUAUCGUAUAGAAAAACUUCUUCUUUCAAGGGUUAGAAGAAUCCCUAUUUAUAGAGAUUUCUUCCUAGUCCAAGGAUGAGAGGGAAUACCAUAUAUUUCCUUAGAACAGAAAAAGGCAUAUACUUCUCCCUUUUCUUAGAAUAGAAAAAGACACAUAUUUGUCUCUUUCCUUAGCAUAGAAAAAGUCAUAUACUUCUCCCUUUCUUUAGAAUAGAGAAAGACACACACUUCUCCCUUUCCUUAGAAUAUAUAGAGAAAGACACAUCUUUUUUUCCACUUAGAAUAGAUUAUGAGUUCUAGUUAAAUAUGGGCACGAUAUAGACCACAUAAUUAAUUAUUGAGGCUUCCUAUUAUAGAAAUAAUUCUAAAUAAUUAAUUUUAAUUAUUCUCACCAUAGUAAAUUACAAAUCAUUCUACUAGAAAUUCGUAAUUGCACUCUUCUAUUUAUAUUUCGAAAUUCCCCAUUAAACACAUAUGUAAUUCCCCAUGUUAAGAUUACAUAUACUAAUCAAUAAAUUAAAUUACUGACGAAUUUAAUUCAAUGAUCAAUUUCGUUUAGAGCAAUGCUUAACUUAAUUCAUGUGUCGAAUUCAUAAAUCCACUUGCAAGGUUUGACACGAUGAAAACUUAUAAUCUUCUCAAAAAGGCAUAUCAUCAAUCUCUAUAUCAAGACAUGGAUUCCGUCAACUAACUUAUUAUUUCACCAAUAUAUAUCAUCAUCAUCCAAUCUAUUACCUGUCAUAUUGAUCCAUCUUAGAAUCUCACCUUUUAAUAAAUCAAAACGAUAAUUAACAUAUACAUAUCAUAAUAGUUAUAUCAGGAUUAAGAAUAUGAGUAGAUUUAAUAGUUUUGAGAUUAUGUUAUUCCCAGUCAGUCUAAAAUAACUAUCUCUACUCGGUCUCGUUCAUUACAUACAAAAUGCACUAGCACAAGAAGUUGGAACUAUACCAUUCCCAUAAUCAAGAUAAACUACAUAUAAUCUUAUGUUACAAUCAUACCGAUGACAUGUCCAAUACUCAUAUUAGAUUGUAAACAAAAAAAAUUAUACUUAUAAGAGUCGAUGAUUUAAUCCGCUAUGUAUAAGCUAAAAUUCUAUACACUAAAUCAUCUACUAUAUAAGUAAAGAGACACCAUAAACAAGUAUAUGAUCUAUUAAAAAUGAAUAAAUAAUUAUUCUAUAAUAACUACUAUAUCUAAACAUAUGGUUAAUAGAAUAUAUCCCAACAAUCUCCCACUUAGACUUUUAACCAUCACGAUUGUUAUAAUGUAUUAUAUCUAAAUGCAUGGUUAAUAGCAGGGGCGGAUCUAUGUGGACAGGUGGGGGUGCCACGGCACCCAGUGAUCUCGGAAAAAACGUCGUUUAUAUAUGUAUAUAUGCAUAAUAAUUCAAUAUAUAUUACUUUUGCCACCCACUGAUUGAAAUGCAGAACAGCUCAAUUGGCGAAGGAGUUGGUCUGCCACACAGCCAACGCGGGUUUGAACCUUACUGCCAACACUUAAUUUUUUGCUUGCUCCUUUUCUUCUCUACUUUUCUUUUUUGUCUUUUUCAUUAGUAUGUAAAGGUGCUUAAUUUUUUUUUUCUCUCCAUUCAUUCUUAUUUAUUUACUAUUCUUUAUUAAUUCAAAUCGACUCCUUUUCAUGAUUAAUUUUUAGUUCUUCUUUUCUUUUCUUUUUUGUCUUUUUCAUCAGUAUGUAAAGGGCUUAAUUUUUUUUUUCUCUCCAUUCAUUCUUAUUUAUUUACUAUUCUUUAUUAAUUCAAAUCGACUCCUUUUCAUGAUUAAUUUUUAGUUCUUCUUUUCUUUUCUUUUUUGUCUUUUUCAUCAGUAUGUAAAGGGCUUAAUUUUUUUUUUCUCCAUUCAUUCUUAUUUAUUUACUAUUCUUUAUUAAUUCAAAUUGAUUCCUUUUCAUGAUUAAUUUUUAAUUUAUUUUUUUUACUUUCUCUUGCACUAAUUAUUAAUCUCUUGAUAUGGGUGUUACAUGUUUAUUUUCAAAAAAAAAUUUCUCCAUUCAUUCUUAUUUAUUUACUAUUCUUUAUUAAUUCAAAUUGAUUCCUUUUCAUGAUUAAUUUUUAAUUUAUUUUUUUUACUUUCUCUUGCACUAAUUAUUAAUCUCUUGAUAUGGGUGUUACAUGUUUAUUUUUAUCAAUUAAUGAGUACUAAAAUUAUGAACGUCAAAUAAAUAUUAUUAAGAAUAUAUUCAAAUAGUAGUUUUUUAAAAUAUGUUUUAAAAUGAUGAUUAUUAUUAUUAGAGUUUUUUUCAAAAAUAAAUAAAGGUUCUUUCAAUCUUCAAUGACGUUCUUGCUAAGUAAGAUGACUAGGCUGAAACUACAAUUUUUAUUCUUUCCCUACUAUAUAUCUCCAACAACACAUAAAAGUCAAUGUAAUAUGAAUAUAUUAUGUUAAUACUAUUAGAUGGUUUAUACAAACUCAAAUUUUAAUGUGAAAAAUCUUUUUUUUCCUCAAAGUUUCAGCGAAUAAGACAUCUAAUUCCAAAAAGGAAAAAAAUUUGAAUUGUUUAGUUAUCUCUUAUCUCAGAAUAUCUAAAAGAAAAUAUUACUAACAUGCAUAUUUGAUCGAUUUGUUUAUAAAAAAUAAAUCAGUAACCCGAAUUGUAACCCAAAAUUAAAGCAACCGAUCAUUUUAUCUUACUUGAACGUUGUGGCACCCACGACCUCCAAAUCCUAGAUCCGCCCCUGGUUAAUAGUAUACACCCUAACAAUCUCCCACUAAGAUAUUUACUCUUGAAAAUUGUUAGAAAACUAUUUUAUUCUAAACACAUGAUUAAUAGUAUAUACCCUAACACUUUCAAUGCUUAGCUGUAAAAGAAAUACACAAUACUAUAAAGUUUAAAAGUUUAAUUUAAUUUGUUAUAUUUUUCUUCGGGAUGACUCAGCUAGUUUGGAUGGUAGUCAUCCACACAGAUGAUUCGUAAUCGAUUCCCCGUCAAUGUCUUCUGAGUCGAGUUUGUCGCAUAGAACUUGCCUAGUGCAGUUUACCUCCCCUAUGUGAUUUGUAGGAUAUUACCACAUUGUGACUAUAUGAAGGACAAAGGGUGUGACAGAGAUUAUAACAGCUGAGAGUUAUCCGAGUUCUAGAAAGAAAAGAAAAGGAAUUAAUUAGUGUAUUAUUUAUAUUUAUUUAAUUAUGUUUUUCAUCAUGCUUUAUCUAAAAAAAACUAUAAAAAAUAAGUUUACUUAAUUAUUUAUUGAACACUUCAUUUGGACAAACUUUGAAAAUGUUAGUACAUUAAUGAAAAAAAGAGAGUUGAAAAUGUCUUCCUCAUCUUUGACCUGAAAAUGUCUUCAGACUGGAGGAGCUACCCCAUAUAGCAAGAGCUUUCAUUACCAUUUGAUCAGUAAUUGCCUUUGUCCUUGCAUUAUCUGGUCCCUGAUAAUGCUUCAAACUCCUUUAAUUUGGUGGUGGUGCUUGGACUCUAAAUAAGGUGUUUGAAUAUAUUAAUCAACCAAGGAUGUAUUAUCCGUUGAACAAACAACCUUGUCCACUCUCAUUUGAGAAGUACGAUGUCCUUCUCACCUAAUCACUGACAAGACAGGUUUACAAGUACUAUUCACCAUUCAGACUUAGACGAGAGCAAUUCUACCUUGGACCAGGUCCCAGUCUUUGUGAGAGAAUCAUCAAAACAUUGAAAUACUAUAUAUAGAUGCUUAUUUGCGUUUAAUGAUUAGGAAGAUAUUGCAAAUGUGCGCCACAUCUUUCUAUGAUGUAUCUUCAGUUUCUCUUGACUUGUUGAACUUCGCUGGGAAGACGUUACAGUUUGUUUAGUUGUGCUUGUGCAAGCUGCUACAUAGCUCAAACAAUAUUAAAUCUGCAGCUUUGAAAGAAAGUAAUUGCAAAUAUUAAAUCUCAUCUUUUUUAGAGAUUUUCUUGUUGAAAAUUUUGGACACCAAUAAAAUUGUGUAAAAUACAACUAAAAAACUUGAUUACUUCUUGAUCCAUAAUGCAUUAAAUUUGGAUUUCCCCAUCCAAAAUUUGCUUCUUGCAUAUGAAACCUAGUCAAACUUGAACAAGUAAAUUCUUCAACAUCAUCAUUAGUUCCCCAUUCUUUACCUUCAUAACUUUUGUUAUAUAAAUUAGCCACCAUUUCAAUUACUUCAUUUGUUGAUGAAGCUUUACCACAAUAAUCAAGAGUUUUUUGCAUUGUUUCUCUUAUUAGUAUUAUAAAAUCUUGUAACUCCAUAUUGGUAGUUCCUUUAGGCUCAUAUGUUAUAGGAAUGUCAAUAAUAAAAUUCCAAAAAGGAUUACUUGCUUCGCGGUAUUUAAGUCUACCGCGUAAAUUCAAGGGAAAUGACAUUACUGAAAGGCUUCAUUUCCCCUGUUAUGGCCUGUGAGGCCCGGAGUUGAGCCCUCCAUAAAAUCGCGGUGACCAUUUCAACUCUUGAGGGCUUAAACCAUAAUGCUCCUGAGUUUGUUAAUU
rnacentral:lncRNA from 1 species